rnacentral:rRNA from 1 species
CAGCAGCCGCGGUAAUACGAAGGGGGCUAGCGUUGCUCGGAAUGACUGGGCGUAAAGGGCGCGUAGGCGGUUGUUACAGUCAGAUGUGAAAUUCCUGGGCUUAACCUGGGGGCUGCAUUUGAUACGUGCGGACUUGAGUGUGAAAGAGGGUCGUGGAAUUCCCAGUGUAGAGGUGAAAUUCGCAGAUAUUGGGAAGAACACCGGUGGCGAAGGCGGCGACCUGGUUCAUGACUGACGCUGAGGCGCGAAAGCGUGGGGAGCAAACAGGAUUAGAUACCCGCGUAGUCCCUGUCUCUUAUAU